GUCUGAUGCAGCACGCCGCGUGAGAUGACACAUUUCGGUGGCGUAAACUCUUUAUAUGAGAAGAAAAUGACGUAUCAUAUGAUAGCGCCGGCUAACUCCGUGCCAGCAGCCGCGGUAAUACGGAGGGCGCAAGCGUUACUCGGAAUCACUGGGCGUAAAGAGCGUGUAGGCGGAUAGAAAAGUUGGAAGUGAAAUCCUGUGGCUUAACCAUAGAACUGCUUCCAAAACUCUCUAUCUAGAAUAUGGGAGAGGUAGAUGGAAUUUCUGGUGUAGGGGUAAAAUCCGUAGAGAUCAGAAGGAAUACCGAUUGCGAAGGCGAUCUACUGGAACAUUAUUGACGCUGAGACGCGAAAGCGUGGGGAGCAAACAGGAUUAGAUACCCUGGUAGUCCACGCCCUAAACGAUGUACAUUAGUUGUUGCUAUGCUAGACAUAGCAGUAAUGCAGUUAACACAUUAAAUGUACCGCCUGGGGAGUACGGUCGCAAGAUUAAAACUCAAAGGAAUAGACGGGGACCCGCACAAGCGGUGGAGCAUGUGGUUUAAUUCGACGAUACGCGAAGAACCUUACCUGGCCUUGACAUACCAAGAACCUAAUAGAGAUAUAAGGGUGCUAGUUUACUAGAACUUGGAUACAGGUGCUGCACGGCUGUCGUCAGCUCGUGUCGUGAGAUGUUAGGUUAAGUCCUGCAACGAGCGCAACCCUCGUGUUUAGUUACUAACAGAUUAUGCUGAGGACUCUAGACAUACUGCCUGGGCAACCAGGAGGAAGGUGAGGACGACGUCAAGUCAUCAUGGCCCUUACGGCCAGGGCUACACACGUGCUACAAUGGGGUAUACAAAGAGCCGCAAUACCGCGAGGUGGAGCAAAUCUCAUAAAAUAUCUCCCAGUUCGGAUUACACUCUGCAACUCGAGUGUAUGAAGUUGGAAUCGCUAGUAAUCGUAGAUCAGCAAUGCUACGGUGAAUACGUUCCCGGGUCUUGUACUCACCGCCCGUCACACCAUGGGAGUUGAAUUCAUUCGAAGCGGGGAUGCUAAAAUAGCUACCUUCCACAGUGGAUUUAGUAACUAGGGUGAAGUCGUAACAAGGUAACCAAGGGCGAAUCGCGCCGCUAUUACU
rnacentral:rRNA from 1 species